rnacentral:sRNA from 1 species
AAAUUGCUGUGGUAUACGAAUCCACAUAUAAGUGUUGACCGACUAAUUUUUGUAUUAUCGGGAGACAGAGGUCUAUUAACAGUGUGCAGGCUGGCUCACCCAGAAGCAACUGAAGUUAGUAGCGAGUCGCCCACCU